AAUGUGGACAGGUUUUUGCUUUUCUAAACUGAGGUUUAAACUAGCAAACUUCUGAAGGUUUAAGAAGCCACAGAGCUGAGCAAUGGGGAUCUGGUUUCUUUUCCGGUCAGAGCAAAUAAACACACAAACACAUAUUUAACUCACAGAGUGUUGGAAGAGAGAAACCAGUGUUCUUUUUAAAGAAGGAAAACAAAAACUCAACCUUGUGGGCAACAGGAGGAAAGUCACACUGGCCGGCAGGCAGCACCCUGCGUUGGCAGAGGAGAAAUCUGAGCUCCAGCGGCACCGGCGGCAUUUGCACAGAGCCACAGCCUCCCGUUUCAAGUUGCAAGUCUCUGGAGUCCCAGGCAAGGCCCCAGCCUGGCUCCCUUCUCAGAGCCCCGAGAACUGAUGAGGAGCCCCUGCACCAACCACAGGACAUGCAGGUCCCUGAUCCUGCCUGUGGACUUUGAGCAUUCCUGAGCCAUGCUGUCAUGUGACUGCAAGAAUUUAGGGGAUGGAAAAAUAAUUUAUAUGCAAAAAAUAAACCAGGCUCUAUUAUGGGCUGAAAUGUGCUCCUCCAAAAUCCAUAUGCUGAGGCCUAACCCCCAGUAUCUCAGAAUGUGUUUGGAGACAGGAUCUUUAAAGAGAAAAGUCUGAACCUGGCCGUGAAUUGAGAGUGAGGAAUUGAGGGAGAGGAAGACAGCAAAGACAACUCCCAGAAUUCUGACUCAAGGUUGUGUUGUUGCCACUUACUGAGAUGGAGGAAGAGUGGAAGGGUGUUUACUUAUCAACUCAAAUUUUGACAAGGAAAGGAGGGUCCUGCCUCUGGUGGCUCAGGAUGGCUCCCCAAUCCUGCCUGCGCUCUGGGAGCCCCACCUCUCUCUCCUGGACCCUCUGCUCUGAUGUCAGCCCACGCGUCCUCCAGUGCAUGGAAAAAUAUCGCAGUCUUUCCCAUCUAAAACCAAAAUGCUUCCACACUAUCUGUCCCUCUCCACUCAGCCUCCAUUCCCCUUUUCAUUUUCUUUCCUAGUCAAGCUUCUAGAAGGAAAAUCCCCUGAGUAUUCGUGCUUCUCUCCUGCGGGGACUUCCUACCCUCUGUCGCCUGGCUUUUGUUCCCAUUGUUCAAUAAACCACUGCUGGAUAGAGUCAGUAAUGACUGUGUAGUUGUCCAAAUCCCAUCAACCCAUUGUCUCUUCAUAUCUAAUUUAAC